UAAUAACAACAAUAAAAAUNCCCCAAACUCAGUGUAGAUGUUUCUUAAAGUUGCACCCUCAGUUGAAGAGGGUGACCUCCCCCAAACACAGGAGAACCUGUCUUCUUAGGUCAUGGGUAUAGGAGCAGCUUUGCUUUUCUGCUAGAACCUCUGGACAAGCUCUCAAGGUAUUUGGAUAUUUUUUUAUGGCAGUAAAGAGACAGUGAUUAUGUAUUGGCUUAUUUU
rnacentral:snRNA from 1 species